rnacentral:rRNA from 1 species
UACGGGGGGUGCAAGCGUUAUUCGGAAUCAUUGGGCGUAAAGAGCGCGUAGGCGGUCUUCUAUGUCAGAUGUGAAAGCCCGGGGCUCAACCCCGGAAGUGCAUUUGAAACUGGGAGACUUGAGUAUGGGAGAGGGAAGUGGAAUUCCUGGUGUAGCGGUGAAAUGCGUAGAUAUCAGGAGGAACACCGGUGGCGAAGGCGACUUCCUGGACCAAUACUGACGCUGAGGCGCGAAGGCGUGGGGAGCAAACAGGAUUAGAUACCCGCGUA